rnacentral:rRNA from 1 species
UGGGGAAUAUUGCACAAUGGGCGAAAGCCUGAUGCAGCAACGCCGCGUGAGCGAAGAAGGCCUUUGGGUCGUAAAGCUCUGUCGGAAGGGAAGAAAUAAAUGACGGUACCUUCCAAGGAAGCCCCGGCUAACUACGUGCCAGCAGCCGCGGUAAUACGUAGGGGGCAAGCGUUAUCCGGAAUUAUUGGGCGUAAAGAGUGCGUAGGUGGUUUUUUAAGCGUGAGGUGAAAGGCAAUAGCUUAACUAUUGUAAGCCUUGCGAACUGGAAGACUUGAGUGCAGGAGAGGAAAGUGGAAGUCCUAGUGUAGCGGUGAAAUGCGUAGAUAUUAGGAGGAACACCAGUGGCGAAGGCGACUUUCUGGACUGUAACUGACACUGAGGCGCGAAAGCGUGGGGAGCAAACA